rnacentral:rRNA from 1 species
AUUGAACGCUGGCGGCAGGCCUAACACAUGCAAGUCGAGCGGAUGAAGGGAGCUUUCUCCUGGAUUCCGCGGCGGACGGGUGAGUAAUGCCUAGGAAUCUGCCUGGCAGUGGGGGAUAACGUCCGGACACGGGCGCUAAUACCGCAUACGUCCUGAGGGAGAAAGUGGGGGAUCUUCGGACCUCACGCUAUCAGAUGAGCCUAGGUCGGAUUAGCUAGUUGGUUGGGUAAAGGUCUACCAAGGCGACGAUCCGUAACUGGUCUGAGAGGAUGAUCAGUCACACUGGAACUGAGACACGGUCCAGACUCCUACGGGAGGCAGCAGUGGGGAAUAUUGGGCAAUGGGCGAAAGCCUGAUGCAGCAAUGCCGCGUGUGUGAAGAAGGUCUUCGGAUUGUAAAGCACUUUAAGUUGGGAGGAAGGGCAGUAAGUUAAUACCUUGCUGUUUUGACGUUACCAACAGAAUAAGCACCGGCUAACUUCGUG